UGUACUUUAAUCCAUGUUUUAUUGUUCCAUUUAUAGUGUCCACACAGAGGUUGAAUUAACAUAAUUCAUAAGGGACAUAGGAUUUUUGUAAAUUAGGCAAAUAAGCAUUCAAUUUAAAGUCACCAGCAUGUGAACACUUAUAGGCUAUUGUAUGAUCAUUAAUUGGACUAAUUUCAAUAUUGUUUUGUCUUAGGGAAUAUGCUCCAGGAACCUUCCCCUCCACCAGAGAUACCAAAAUCUUUAGAUGCUCAGGUCCAUGAUAUAAAAUGGCACUGUAUUGGUAUGUAACCUACACACAUCCUCCCAUACACUUAAAUCAUCUCUUGAUUACUUAUAAUACCU
rnacentral:lncRNA from 1 species